UACAGUAUGAUAGCGAGUGGUUUCAACUUCCCAUGCUUUUGGUAGUGAUAGGGAUGGUAGAGGAGCCAAUUAUGGAUUCUUUGCCUCUUUGACGUUGCCGGUGUCUAGAAACAGUGACCGCGGUUCGAGUUACUGGCUUGUGAUGACGAAAAUCAAAACGCCGUUGUAGAUUGCAGGUUGGUACAUACACAUAUCGUAGAAUUAAAUAUAUUAUGUUAAAUGCCAUACUUUGAUUAUCAUGUUUUGAAGGCUUUUUCUUCAUGGUGGGGUAUAGAUGGUACUUUAUUGGUACAAAUGAUGUGAAUACCAAGACCGUAGGUCCUUUGGUACCAUGUGAUACAAGACUAAUCUGAUUUAUGGUGCUGACAAUAACCUUGAUCAUUGUUGUAAGGGUACUAGAGCCUGUUAAGGAACAACAUCUAGCUUGGAAUUUUGUGCAACUACUUAUAGUUCAUAUUAACUUUUUGAUGCCAAUAUGCUUAAUUUUUUUUGUGGUAGUUGGCUGGUGGUGUUGCUGUCAAAGUUGUCAGUCUUGAUGUUCCCUUCCAACCAUGAAGGGAGAUUGAUGGAAUGAAGAGUGUUCACUGUUCAGGGGUAUUCAGGGAUUUUACCAUCUAACACGUGUCUUAUCAUGUUGUGGCGUGUUGAGAAAGAUGUGGUUUCCGAGUUAAGCGGGAAAACUGAAAUUACUGUUCAUUGCAAAUUGAGUUCGAGG